rnacentral:ncRNA from 2 species
AACGAUCAUGAAGAAGCCGCCGAGAGAUAUCGGAAGAGUUUUCUUUCCGCUUUAUAGUCGUACUAUCAUGGAAGUCUUUCGAGGAGAGAUAUGGUAGAUGGACUAAAAGAGCAUGACAAUUGCUUUUGUGUCGAUAUUUUCUCCUCGGACCUUGAAAAUUUAUG